rnacentral:rRNA from 1 species
GACGAACGCUGGCGGCGUGCCUAAUACAUGCAAGUCGAACGCAGUGGGGACGGGUGAUUAACACGUGGGCAACCUUUCAUCAGAGGGGAUAACACUUGGAAAAAGGUGCUAAAUCGACAUUGAUGGAUGGACCCGCGGUGCAGUAGCUAGUUGUGGAGGUAACGGGUCACCAAGGCCACGAUGCAUAGACGGCCUGAGAGGGUGAUCGGCCACACUGGGACUGAGACACGGCCCAGACUCCUAGGGGAGGAAGCAGUGGGGAAUAUUCGGCAAUGGCAGAAAGUCUGACCGAGUAACGCCGCGUGGGUGAAGAGGGUUUUCGGAUCGUAAAGUUCUGUUGUCAGGGAGGCGGUAUUUGACCAGAAAGCCACGGCUAACUACGUGCCAGCAGCCGCGGUAAUUC